AUGCUCGCUUCGGCAGCACAUAUACUAAAAUUGGAACGAUACAGAGAUUAGCAUGGCCCCUUCGCAAGGAUGACACGCAAAUUCGUGUUAUAUUUUAGAAAUAU
rnacentral:snRNA from 1 species